CACGCACGAAUCAAUUCGGCCACCGCGGGCGCCACCCCACUGUUACGUGCUUUACCAGUAAGAAUUAUCCAGUAUCUUUCCAGUAGCUAAUUUUCCAGUCUCAGAGAGCAAUGCUUACAAGACCUUACAUAUAUGGGCCGUACAUUCAGGAAUUUAAAAUUUUCAUACAUUGGCUAUAUUUUGACACAUUUUUAAUUCAGCCUUAAAAAAACAUGGAGCAGCUGCAGCAGUUUCUUUUACCAGCAAAUUCAAAGGCUUAAGAGGCUAAAAAACAUACAUAUCACACAAGUACAAAAAUACAUGUAUAUAGCAUUCAUAUACUCAUUCUGCAAAAUACAAGUAAACACCCUUCCUCUUUCUAUUUUUUGACAGGCACCUAGGUGUAUAAUAGGCUGAGUACUUGGUCUUUUGGUUUGAGGACAUUAGCAGGGUUGCUAUGCAAUAUUAAAAUUUGGUAACAUUACAAAAAAAUAGAAUAUAGAAAAAAAUUAAUAAUA